rnacentral:rRNA from 1 species
AAUGAACGCUGGCGGCAGGCCUAACACAUGCAAGUCGAACGAGUGGCGGACGGGUGAGUAAUGUCUGGGAAACUGCUUGAUGGAGGGGGAUAAUUACGGGAAACGGUAGCUAAUACGGCAUACCAUCGGAUGUUCGAAGAUGGCAUUAGCGAGUAGGUGGGGUAACGGCUCACGAAGGCGACGAUCCCUAGCUGGUAUGAGAGGAUGACCUGCCACACUGGAACUGAGACACGGUCCAGACUCCUACGGGAGGCAGCAGUGGGGAAUAUUGCACAAUGGGCGCAAGCCUGAUGCAGCCAUGCCGCGUGUAUGAAGAAGGCCUUCGGAUCGUAAAAUACUUUCAGCGGGGAAGCGUUACCCACAGAAGAAGCCCCGGCUAACUCCGUGCCAGCAGCCGCGGUAAUAC